rnacentral:rRNA from 1 species
CAGUAGCCGCGGUAAUACGUAGGUGGCAAGCGUUGUCCGGAAUUAUUGGGCGUAAAGAGCUCGCAGGCGGUUUCUUAAGUCUGAUGUGAAAGCCCCCGGCUCAACCGGGGAGGGUCAUUGGAAACUGGGAAACUUGAGUGCAGAAGAGGAGAGUGGAAUUCCACGUGUAGCGGUGAAAUGCGUAGAGAUGUGGAGGAACACCAGUGGCGAAGGCGACUCUCUGGUCUGUAACUGACGCUGAGGAGCGAAAGCGUGGGGAGCGAACAGGAUUAGAUACCCCAGUAGUCCCUGUCUCUUAUAC